rnacentral:lncRNA from 1 species
CAUUGACACAGUAUGGUUCAGGUUAUAGUUUCUGUGUCCCCCUGUCACUGUGCUGUACAGUAUAUCACUGGAUUACAUCCAUGUCGUAGCACAUCUAACAAUCUGAGAUGAAUAAACAUAGCACUGAGCAAUGCACAACGCAUUGCGUGUGCAAUGAGCGACAAACCCAAAAUAAGCCCUCAGGAAAAACAAUGAUGGCAUAAAGUAUUAGUUGCUCUGUACUGAACACUGAUAGUGAUAGAGAGUGGGCUAUCACUUUCAGUCUUCAGACAGCACAAACGCAAGCAUGGAGAUAAAACACACACACACCCGCACGCACCCGCACCCACAAACACACACACACACAAACACCCGCCCCCCCCCCCCCCCCCCCCGCCGGAAUAAUGCUUGUUAACUUGUUAUUAGCGUGCAUGAGUCAUUAACAUGUGUUAUAACAAGGCUUAUAAUGUCUAUCUAUGUAUCCACAUUUCUACAAUGGCUGGUAUUUAGUCAGGAUCAUUAUGAGAUGAUAAUAAGACACUAAGGGGGUUAUGUAUGCUUAUAACAAGUCUUAUAAUGCAUUACAACCAUUUCAACCAUAUUGUAAUUGGUUAUACCUGUAGGCGUAAAAUAAAGUGUUACCGACUGUGGGAACUGACUUCUCUAAAUCCUAGUCUCCACUUCCCCUUCAAUAACCUGAGGCUGACACCGUGACAUGGGCAUAACCCCGGCCCGGGCUGUCAGAUAGAGGGGAUUCCUAGAGGGGAUUCACACACAGCCAGCAAAUAGAGCACAACAACCACAUAGAUCCUAUUAAAUGACUCAUUCCUAAUUCUAUGACAACAACAGAACACACUGAAGAAUACCCAUUCAAAACAAACGUGAACCAGCAAUCAGCAUUCACAGUGUUCUGCUCAAUUCUAAUGAAGGGUGGGGGGAAACGUUGUUCUAUGUGCAUUGAAAUAAAGAACCCCAGCCAGGCUGGAGAGAGCCAUAUGAGCAAAUGUAUGGAAGGAUGCAUAGGGAUGAAGAGUGCUUUUGUUCUCCAGUGACACUGUGAGAUCUGUUCCAUCUCCACUGCCUGGCUGUCUGUAUGUCCAGCCCUGUGGCACACAGACUCAAAGAGCCAGAGGCAGACCCAGGAUCACAACCUCCCUUCCUUCUCCUGCCUUUUCUACAGGGAGUCAGUCAGUCAGUC